UACGGAGGGGGCUAGCGUUGUUCGGAAUUACUGGGCGUAAAGCGCACGUAGGCGGCUUUGUAAGUUAGAGGUGAAAGCCCGGGGCUCAACUCCGGAAUUGCCUUUAAGACUGCAUCGCUAGAAUUGUGGAGAGGUAAGUGGAAUUCCGAGUGUAGAGGUGAAAUUCGUAGAUAUUCGGAAGAACACCGGUGGCGAAGGCGGCCCACUGGAUCGGCACUGACGCUGAGGUGCGAAAGCGUGGGGAGCAAACAGG
rnacentral:rRNA from 1 species